AUUGAACGCUGGCGGCAGGCCUAACACAUGCAAGUCGAGCGGAUGAAGGGAGCUUGCUCCUGGAUUCAGCGGCGGACGGGUGAGUAAUGCCUAGGAAUCUGCCUGGUAGUGGGGGAUAACGUCCGGAAACGGGCCCUAAUACCGCAUACGUCCUGAGGGAGAAAGUGGGGGAUCUUCGGACCUCACGCUAUCAGAUGAGCCUAGGUCGGAUUAGCUAGUUGGUGAGGUAAAGGCCUACCAAGGCGACGAUCCGUAACUGGUCUGAGAGGAUGAUCAGUCACACUGGAACUGAGACACGGUCCAGACUCCUACGGGAGGCAGCAGUAGGGAAUAUUGGACAAUGGGCGAAAGCCUGAUGCAGCCACGCCGCGUGUGUGAAGAAGGUCUUCGGAUUGUAAAGCUCUGUAAGUUGGGAGGAAGGGAAGUAAGUUAAUACCUGGCUGUUUUGACGGUACCAACAGAAAAAGCACCGGCUAACUUCGUG
rnacentral:rRNA from 1 species